UCGAGGUGUAAAUAAUACAGUUAGGGGAACCAAAUUUGAGCUCCGCCAUUGGUAUCAGAGGACUUAGCAAUGAUGUAAAAUAAACCAUUCAAAUGGCCCAGACAGGAACCGACACAAGUACACAAAGGCAUCAAGGCACACCCAAAAGCC